UACGUAGGGUGCAAGCGUUGUCCGGAAUCAUUGGGCGUAAAGAGCGUGUAGGCGGUUCGGUAAGUCUGCUGUGAAAGUCCAGGGCUCAACCCUGGAAAGCCGGUGGAUACUGUCGGACUAGAGUGCGGAAGAGGCGAGUGGAAUUCCCGGUGUAGCGGUGAAAUGCGCAGAUAUCGGGAGGAACACCAAUUGCGAGGGCAGCGCGCUGGGACGUGACUGACGCUGAGACGCGAAAGCGUGGGGAGCAAACAGG
rnacentral:rRNA from 1 species